rnacentral:rRNA from 1 species
CAAUACCUAGUGGCAGACGGGUGAGUAACGCGUGGUCAACCUACCGUUGAGUGGGGGAUAACUAGCCGAAAGGUUAGCUAAUACCGCAUAAGCCUGGAAAGGGAAAGUCGCAAGACGCUGAGAGAGGAGUCCGCGGCCGAUUAGCUAGUUGGCAGGGUAAAAGCCUACCAAGGCUAUGAUCGGUAGCCGGCCUGAGAGGGCACACGGCCACACUGGCACUGAAACACGGGCCAG